UGGGGAAUAUUGGACAAUGGGCGAAAGCCUGAUCCAGCCAUGCCGCGUGUGUGAAGAAGGUCUUCGGAUUGUAAAGCACUUUACGUUGGGAGGAAGGGCAGUAAGCGAAUACCUUGCUGUUUUGACGUUACCGACAGAAUAAGCACCGGCUAACUCUGUGCCAGCAGCCGCGGUAAUACAGAGGGUGCAAGCGUUAAUCGGAAUUACUGGGCGUAAAGCGCGCGUAGGUGGUUCGUUAAGUUGAAUGUGAAAGCCCCGGGCUCAACCUGGGAACUGCAUCCAAAACUGGCGAGCUAGAGUAGGGCAGAGGGUGGUGGAAUGUCCUGUGUAGCGGUGAAAUGCGUAGAUAUAGGAAGGAACACCAGUGGCGAAGGCGACCACCUGGGCUCAUACUGACACUGAGGUGCGAAAGCGUGGGGAGCAAACAGG
rnacentral:rRNA from 1 species